AGUCAGCAUCCGGACGCCUCCAAUUAUGCAAGUAAUCUUGAAUAAAUUAUUUAUGCCUUAGAUUACUAUUUUCCUUUCAGAACANGUAAACAAGAUAUUACCAAGUCAUCGUCAACAUAGGAAAAAAGUUCUAAAAAGAACCCCCAUCAACAGUCAACAUCUAACGGUUCCACCAUUGUGACUCUGCGCCUACCCCCGAAG
rnacentral:lncRNA from 1 species